rnacentral:rRNA from 1 species
UAAGACGGCGGACGGGUGAGUAACGCGUGGGAAUGUGCCCUUCUCUACGGAAUAGCCACUGGAAACGGUGAGUAAUACCGUAUACGCCCUCAGGGGGAAAGAUUUAUCGGAGAAGGAUCAGCCCGCGUUAGAUUAGGUAGUUGGUGGGGUAACGGCCUACCAAGCCUACGAUCUAUAGCUGGUUUUAGAGGAUGAUCAGCCACACUGGGACUGAGACACGGCCCAGACUCCUACGGGAGGCAGCAGUAGGGAAUCUUGGACAAUGGGGGCAACCCUGAUCCAGCCAUGCCGCGUGAGUGAAGAAGGCCCUAGGGUCGUAAAGCUCUUUCGCCUGUGAUGAUAAUGACAGUAGCAGGUAAAGAAACCCCGGCUAACUCCGUGCCAGCAGCCGCGGUAAUACGGAGGGGGUUAGCGUUGUUCGGAAUUACUGGGCGUAAAGCGCGCGUAGGCGGACUGGAAAGUUGGGGGUGAAAUCCCGGGGCUCAACCCCGGAACUGCCUUCAAAACUCCCAGUCUAGAGUUCGAGAGAGGUGAGUGGAAUUCCGAGUGUAGAGGUGAAAUUCGUAGAUAUUCGGAAGAACACCAGUGGCGAAGGCGGCUCACUGGCUCGAUACUGACGCUGAGGUGCGAAAGUGUGGGGAGCAAACAGGAUUAGAUACCCUGGUAG